CUACCCAGUGGCCAAAGUUGGUGUCGGUUGGUUUCGAACCCGCCUUUCUCAUCACAGCAGCCGGAUACUUUACCCAUUAGACCAUGAACUACCCAGUGACUCAAGUUGUAAAAGAGGUUCAUUGAAGAGCGACACAUACCCAGUGGCACCCACCCAGUGGCAUGUACGCAUUGGUCAAGUUGGCCUGACGGUUGGUUUCGAACCCGGCUCCCUCAUCACAGCAGCUGGAUGCUUCACCCAUUAGACCAUGAACUACCCAUGACUCAAGUUGUAAAAGAGGUUCAUUGAAGAGCGACACAUACCCAGUGGCACCCACCCAGUGGCAUGUACGCAUUGGUCAAGUUGGCCUGACGGUUGGUUUCGAACCCGGCUCCCUCAUCACAGCAGCUGGAUGCUUCACCCAUUAGACCAUGAACUACCCAUGACUCAAGUUGUAAAAGAGGUUCAUUGAAGAGCGACACAUACCCAGUGGCACCCACCCAGUGGCAUGUACGCAUUGGUCAAGUUGGCCUGACGGUUGGUUUCGAACCCGGCUCCCUCAUCACAGCAGCUGGAUGCUUCACCCAUUAGACCAUGAACUACCCAGUGACUCAAGUUGUAAAAGAGGUUCAUUGAAGAGCGACACAUACCCAGUGGCACCCACCCAGUGGCAUG
rnacentral:lncRNA from 1 species